rnacentral:rRNA from 1 species
GUGGGGAAUAUUGGACAAUGGGCGCAAGCCUGAUCCAGCCAUGCCGCGUGAGUGAUGAAGGCCUUAGGGUUGUAAAGCUCUUUCACCGAUGAAGAUAAUGACGGUAGUCGGAGAAGAAGCCCCGGCUAACUUCGUGCCAGCAGCCGCGGUAAUACGAAGGGGGCUAGCGUUGUUCGGAAUUACUGGGCGUAAAGCGCACGUAGGCGGAUAUUUAAGUCAGGGGUGAAAUCCCAGAGCUCAACUCUGGAACUGCCUUUGAUACUGGGUAUCUUGAGUAUGGAAGAGGUAAGUGGAAUUCCGAGUGUAGAGGUGAAAUUCGUAGAUAUUCGGAGGAACACCAGUGGCGAAGGCGGCUUACUGGUCCAUUACUGACGCUGAGGUGCGAAAGCGUGGGGAGCAAACAGGAUUAGAAACCCCUGUAGUCC